GACGAACGCUGGCGGCGUGCUUAACACAUGCAAGUCGAACGAAGUGGCGAACGGGUGAGUAACGCGUAAUCAACCUGCCCUUCAGAGGGGGACAACAGUUGGAAACGACUGCUAAUACCGCAUACUGAAGGAGGGGAUUGCGUCUGAUUAGCUAGUUGGAGGGGUAACGGCCCACCAAGGCGAGGAUCAGUAGCCGGUCCGAGGGGAAGACGUGCCACAAUGGGACUGAGACACGGCCCAGACUCAGACGGGAGGCAGCGGGGGGGAAUCGUAUGCAAUGGACGAAAGGCUGACGGGGCAACGCCGCGGGAGUGAAGACGGCCUUCGGGUUGUAAAGCUCGGUUAAUCGGGACGCGGUACCGGAAUAGAAAGCCACGGCUAACUACGUGCCAGCAGCCGCGGUAAUUC
rnacentral:rRNA from 1 species